rnacentral:lncRNA from 10 species
GCCACCACCCAGCCUCCACCACCCAGCCUUCUCCACCCAGCCUUCUCCACCCAGCCUCCACCACCCAGCCUCCACCACCCAGCCUCCUCCACCCAGCCUCCACCACCCAGCCUUCUCCACCCAGCCUCCACCACCCAGCCUUCGCCACCCAGCCUCCACCACCCAGCCUUCUCCACCCAGCCUCCACCACCCAGCCUUCUCCACCCAGCAUCCACCACCCAGCCUCCACCACCCAGCCUUCUCCACCCAGCCUCCACCACCCAGCCUGCAGCUGAAAACAAAACAGGUUGUGCCCUUCAGCAAGGGUGAGAGAGCCCAGUGAAAAUGUCACUUUCCCUCAGAUGGCUGCCUCGGUGGCUCUGUCUUACUGACUGUGUGUGCCGCAUGUUUCUUUUAUUUCAGCUGAUGUGGGGUAACGGGGCCCUGCCUUCUCCCACAAACCCCCUGCCAGGACUCUGGAGGCAAACUGUCCCCAAAAGAAAUGGUAUGAGGCACCCUCAGCUCCUCCAGUGACCCAUGGCCUGCUCCCUCCACAACAUCCCCACCCCCAGCCUCAGGCUGGCACAGAGGGACAACCACGGCUGCGUAGACUCCCAGACGGAUGCUCACGAUGUUAGGGGCGGCCUGGCCCUGUGCCCACCUGAGGGUUCCCGGAAUUCCAGCUGCCUGAGAAAGUCGGUGAGAGCCCAAGAAGGUGUUCUGGCACCCUGGAUCUCCCGGAUCUCCCGCUUCCCGAGGGGCCCGGAGAGAACAGACUUAUGGAAGCAUGGAUUCUACGGAUAGCCAGAGUCAGAGAUGGUCUGGGUGCCAGCCACAGAAGGUACUGAAGCCAGAAGGGAAACACAACUGUCCACAUACGGUAGUCAGUGCGGUUAAGAAGGAGGAUUCCUGAGUCGGACAUACCUGGGCUCAAACGGCUCUGCCACAUCCUAAGUGCGUGGCCUUGGGGAGGGGCCUAACCUGACUCACCUGAGCCUCCUCAUCGGUGGAGAUGACACCUAUGAGACGGGAUAGCAGUGAGGUUGAAACACAGUAACACACGUGUUUAAUCACACACAUGCAUAUACACACACGCAGGCACACACACAAGCAUGCGCACACUGCUUGGCACAGAAAGUGAGAUAUACUCAGUGCUGGGCUAGUACAUGUUUAACAAUCUUAGCUCUCUGGGGUAAACAAAAUCCUAGAAAACAGACCCACUUUGUAGCACGCGCCGAGUCGACUUCCCCGGGGCAGAUACUCCAAACCCUGGCUCUGCGCGCGAUGUCCCUGAGCGGGCCUGGGAGGAGGUGAGAGUUACCCGCACGCCACCGGCUGCGCUGGUCCCAGCACAGGGCUGCUCCACCCAGAAGCUGCUGGCCUGACGGGUGACAGAGGGGCCUUUUGACCAGGCUGCAAGACUCUGACUUGGAGACAGGCCGCUGGAGGAAAAACAGAUCAGCCGAAGCUCUCGCAGAGUAACUGAGUGUUCGAGGAAGUGAGGAGGCUGCAGCAAAUGUUCUCGUGUGCCCAAGAUGCCACCCUCAAGACCAAGGCUGUCACUCCAGGCGGGCCUGGAGCUGCCGGCGGAUCACAGCAGAGUCUCUGCCAGCUGCCCUGCACCCAAGGGAGCUGCACUGUGUGAGGUCACGCCCGCUCCCAGGCCCAGCCACAUCUCAGGACAAACCGCAUGGGAGUCGGUCCGGAGGCUCAGCCCGCUUACCUCAACGCAGGACAACUCCAAAGGGAAUCCCAGCUCCAGAGCCGUCCACAGGACGGGCUGACGCCCGAGUUCACGACCGCGUCACCACUCAACUCCUCCCUCCGCCCUGUGCUGCACCCCUCACGCCCUUUUAGGUGUUGGUCCCAAAAGCGUUUCCCCAAAACCACCCAUACAUAAUUCUCUAUUUCCAAGGACUCCAGAGAGCCCGUCUUAAGACACUUUGGUUGCAAGACCCCAAACCAACAUGAAUGGUGCCCCUAGCCAGGUGUAAUGGGAGAGAAGGCCCGUGGUGGAGGCCUCGGCUCUGUCUGUCAUAACUGGAAGAAGAGGGUGGUGGCUGCCAGGUGCUUUGCCAGGUCCCGCUUACCACCCUGGGGCAUUGGAGGAGUCACCCGUUGCUGCCCAUCUCAGCAGACAGGGGCAGGUGUCCCCGGAGCAUCGCCCCUCAGGGCAGGGCUGUGAGUUUUCACUCCACGGAGGCUCAGGCCAUUCCCAGCAAGAGGAGGCCAUGUCCGCGUGGCACAUUCUAACAUAUGGUGAGUGUGAUUGUAAUCAGUUGUCCAAAACCCAUGGGGAUUGACUGUUCAUCGACUCCCUUUCAGGGGCUGUUGGAAGAAUUAACUGCACGUCAACUAGCCGCGGAAAAAGGCUGAACUGCUUCUCAGCAUGUGUGUGGAAUUCUUGACUGGGAUUUUCAAUAUGGUUCAGAGCCAAACUUUUCUUUCUUUCGGAAAACAUCUGAGAGUCUGCUGAAAGCCAGUGAGAAAGUAAUCCCAUGUACACAUUCUCGGCAAGCCUCAGGCUGAAACGGCUCUCACAUGUGGACUCGAGCCUGCCUGGAUACAGACGGGUUGGAGACGGAUCUGCUCAAAGGCGGCUCAGCAGGAGUGAGAAACCAGUCCUUCCUGAGCUUUCUGCAGCCCCCCGGGAGCCCACUGAGGAGGCUCAGAGGCUGCUCUGGGACAGGGAGCAGCCAAGGUGGGACGCAGGGCAGUGGGCAGGCUUCCCCGGGCAGCAACGCCAGCACCCCUGCUUCCAGCAUCCCCAUCUCAGUCCCCUUCACAUGCAGGACUUCCCCCAAGUGAUUAAUGUGACAAAGGGGCCCUGUGGCUAAGGAAACACCAAGGCACAGGACGGUCACGUAAACGACAGCCACGCUUCGGCAAGGUCCCCACUGGAAAUACGGAAGCGAGACAGCGCGUCUGCAGCCACGUGUCCGUCGGGUACCGAGCCACCCAGUUCCAUGCUGGGACCACAUGGAUGGGGAGGGGACACCGUGGCCACCCCCUAGGCAUUGCUCAGUCAUUCUUGUACAGCGUACAAUCGCCCGUUUAUAGGAAGAAUGCUGACCAUAUAUUCUGGUUUUCCAUGCGCAAUACUUCACUAGGAAAGAAUGCAGAACUCACCAGAAGGAGCACACGCUGCAGUUUUCCCCAUCAACCAAACCUCUUCCCAGGGAUUGGGAAAUAGGAUGGCGGGGCUCUCCUGCCCUUCCGGCGCCUGGAGAAGGCACAGGUGGCCCCAGCAGGGUCCUAGACAGACAAGGGUCCCAGAGAUCAAACCAUAGGGUCUUCCUGCCUGAGACAGGGACAUUUGACAAGGCAGCUGUGAGUUUGGAACCUGUAACCAGGGCACGGCGCCUCGGCACUCCACUCACCCUGCAGAAUGAAAUCUCAACCCAGGAUGGACGGUGGAGGGAGUGCUGCCUCUCACCGGCGAGGGCACAGCCUCACCCAGCCACAGGGCUCCCUGUGUGACACAGGCUGAGCUCUGGGUCUCGGGAGAAGGCACACACACGCUUGCAACGUGAGGUUUCCUUGCAACACAAAGUUCAGAUUUAGGAGGGGAAAGAUGAGUUUCAGAUGCUAAAACUAGUCUUUGGGGACUUUUCAAGGAUAAGAGAUGGCCUGCUUCUGGGCCGGCCUUUGGGAAAGGUUUUCAUUCUCAAUUUCCACCCUGACCGAUGCUGCGUCGUGUUGUUGAUAUGUGAAACGUGGUCUGUGAUGUCCUGAGGCCUGGAAAUCCAGAUGUUCCCCAGUUCAGACUUCACAACUCAGGAAAGUGAAUCUUAGUGAAAUACACAUUGGAGCUUUUAAGAAACUGCCUCCGUCACCGGGAUCGCGCCGUGGGUGAAUCUGGUGUCCGGCUCCUUUUGCUCCAUGUGGGCAGGCUCCCCUCUGUUGCUGGGCCUGGCUCUUCAUUCACUCCCAUUGCUUAUGAGCACAUGGAUGCUUUUUAAAAGGAGAAAAGAAAAUUAGCCUGUUGUUGUUUGAAGGCAACAAUCCUGCCCUGUCCAGCUGAGAACAUCUGCUAGGAGAGCUUGGGCUGUGCCGUGCGGGGAACCGUGGGAAGCAGGGUAGGUGGGUGUCUGUCAGGGGAGGGGAACCAGGGAUUAGGUCAGACAAGAGGCGGAACAGGGAGACAGGCAGGACCAACACCAUCUCGGGGGCUUGGCCAGACCGGCCACUCAUCUCUGCCAAGUCAGAUGCCUCCAAGGAGCCGAACCCUAGAGAAAGCUGCAGGGCCGGGAGCCUCUGGGACGGGAGGACCCCACCUCCAGGGCAGCCCACUCUGGGGUGGGACAAUGGCCUCCUUUGCUGCCCCAUGGACGAUGAAUGGCACCCAUGUAUGACUCAUGCCGCUGGUAUUUUCUGGCUGAUUCCAGUGAGCCGAAGGAAGGAACCUUAGUUACUAAAGGCUGCUCUCACUGCAAGCCAGCGGCUCCCUGCAGCUGGUGAAAGUGGGCGCCGCAGGAUAGCGCAGCCCUACCCCUUGCACUUCUCCGGAUUUUACUUUUCUUUUAAUACUAUGAGGAUGAAAGGACGAAAGCUAGUCUAGGAUUGAAAACAUCGGCCAGGCACGGUGGCUCACGCCUG